CAACCCUCAAGCCCCCGGGCUUGGUGUUGGAGGUCGGCACAAGCGUCCCUCGGGUCGCCGCCGUCUCCCAAAUAUAGUGGCGGUCUCGCUGUAGCCUCCUCUGCGUAGUAACUCACCUCGCACUGGAACGCGGCGCGGCCAAGCCGUUAAACCCCCCACUUCUGAAGG
rnacentral:misc_RNA from 1 species